rnacentral:rRNA from 1 species
UCUGGUAACGAUGGCGAGAAGGUCACACCCGUUCCCAUCCCGAACACGGAAGUUAAGCUUCUCAGCGCCGAUGGUAGUUGGGGAGAUCCCCUGCGAGAGUAGGACGUUGCCAGGC